CACUCUAGAGAGACUGCCAGGGAUAACCUGGAGGAAGGUGGGGAUGACGUCAAAUCAUCAUGCCCCUUAUGCUUAGGGCUACACACGUGCUACAAUGGGUAGUACAGAGGGUUGCCAAGCCGUAAGGUGGAGCUAAUCCCUUAAAGCUACUCUCAGUUCGGAUUGUAGGCUGAAACUCGCCUACAUGAAGCUGGAGUUACUAGUAAUCGCAGAUCAGAAUGCUGCGGUGAAUGCGUUCCCGGGUCUUGUACACACCGCCCGUCACACCCCGGGAGUUGGAGACGCCCGAAGCCGAUUAUCUAACCUUUUGGAAGAAGUCGUCGAAGGUGGAAUCAAUAACUGGGGUGAAGUCGUAACAAGGUAGCCGUAUCGGAAGGUGCGGCUGGAUCACCUCCUUUCUAAGGAGA
rnacentral:rRNA from 1 species